CUUGAAUGGAGCCUAACUGAGAUGAGCAUUGAUGAUGAACAACAUGUUGAUGAAGGAGCCAUCAAUGAUCUGAGAAAUAGCAUAAUUGACUGGGCUGAUGACGCUCCACUUGAAAGGCCUAUACAAAGGGAGGAAAUGGAC